UGCCUCUCUGCGCAGAGCUGAC
rnacentral:misc_RNA from 1 species